AGUGAACGCUGGCGGUAGGCCUAACACAUGCAAGUCGAGCGGCAGCACAGUAAGAGCUUCCUCUUACGGGUGGCGAGUGGCGGACGGGUGAGGAAUACAUCGGAAUCUACUUUUUCGUGGGGGAUAACGUAGGGAAACUUACGCUAAUACCGCAUACGACCUACGGGUGAAAGCAGGGGAUCUUCGGACCUUGCGCGAUUGAAUGAGCCGAUGUCGGAUUAGCUAGUUGGCGGGGUAAAGGCCCACCAAGGCGACGAUCCGUAGCUGGUCUGAGAGGAUGAUCAGCCACACUGGAACUGAGACACGGUCCAGACUCCUACGGGAGGCAGCAGUGGGGAAUAUUGGACAAUGGGCGCAAGCCUGAUCCAGCCAUACCGCGUGGGUGAAGAAGGCCUUCGGGUUGUAAAGCCCUUUUGUUGGGAAAGAAAAGCAGCAGGUUAAUACCCCGCUGUUCUGACGGUACCCAAAGAAUAAGCACCGGCUAACUUCGUG
rnacentral:rRNA from 1 species